GACGGGGGGGGCAAGUGUUCUUCGGAAUGACUGGGCGUAAAGGGCACGUAGGCGGUGAAUCGGGUUGAAAGUGAAAGUCGCCAAAAAGUGGCGGAAUGCUCUCGAAACCAAUUCACUUGAGUGAGACAGAGGAGAGUGGAAUUUCGUGUGUAGGGGUGAAAUCCGUAAAUAUACGAAGGAACGCCAAAAGCGAAGGCAGCUCUCUGGGUCCCUACCCGACGCUGGGGUGCGAAAGCAUGGGGAGCGAACAGG
rnacentral:rRNA from 1 species